rnacentral:rRNA from 1 species
UAGCCAGACUCCUACGGGAGGCAGCAGUGGGGGAUAUUGCACAAUGGGGGGAACCCUGAUGCAGCGACGCCGCGUGGGUGAAGGAGCGUUUCGGCGCGUAAAGCCCUAUCGGCAGGGAAGAAGGAGGACGGUACCUGACUAAGAAGCCCCGGCUAACUACGUGCCAGCAGCCGCGGGAAUACGGAGGAUGCGAGCGUUAUCCGGAUUUAUUGGGUUUAAAGGGUGCGUAGGUUGUUUUUUAAGUCAGCGGUGAAAGUUUGUGGCUCAACCAUAAAAUUGCCGUUGAAACUGGAAGACUUGAGUGUGGUUGAGGUAGGCGGAAUGCGUGGUGUAGCGGUGAAAUGCGUAGAUAUCAGGAGGAACACCGGCGGCGAAGGCGGCCUGCUGGACCGCGACUGACGUUGAGGCUCGAAAGCGUGGGGAGCGAACAGGAUUAGAUACCCCAGUA